rnacentral:precursor_RNA from 1 species
AGGAUAAGCGUGGUGCCGGAGAUGGUGAGGCUGUGAGCUUGCCACGUCCCAAGCCCAUGAGGUUUUGCCUUUUUUAUGUUAAAAAUUUCGAAAUUGGCCCGGGGUUUUUGAGGGUUUUCUUUUUCAAAAAGGGAAGCGCGGAACGUUUUUGCAAAAAUUUUUCACUGCGGGGGUUUCGGCCUAUUGGGUGGAGCGCCCGAACAGGGCGCGACGAAACCCGGGCGCCAUGACGGCGGCGUCGGGGGGACAGGGUGCAAAGUACCCAACCAUGAACCCCGCCCUCCAGCCCGGGUCACAAAAAGGUGCGCUCCCGAGGAAACGCCGAAAGGCGGACCCCUCGGGGGUAAGGCAGGCCCGACAUCCCGACUAAACCCCGGACGGAUAUUUGGUACUUCCCCUUGAGGGAAGUCCCACCGGCCGUACUCCUUGCUCA